CUUGAAAUCCAGAUUGUCAAAUAAUUCGCCUUCUAUAUUUCGGAAAGCUGAUCUUUUCUUUCUGUGUUUACAGUCCAAAGUCAAUGCAUCAUAUGCGACAAAUGACUGUCAUCACGCCCUAUGCCCAAUUCAUUUUCCAAUUCAUAUCAGAUUCUCCUGAGUACUUUCUCUGUCCCCCAUCUCCCUUCUCAUCUCCCCUUUCUUUUAAAUUUUAGUUAAUUUGUUUGUGCAAGCUACAAGCAUGCCCAAAAUUAUGAGUUCGUAAAAUAUGUGCUGCAUUCUUCGGUUUCACUCUAGUUUUGAAUUGAUUGUAAGAAUAAUGUGCUUAUAAGGUUCACUAGAAGAACAUACGUAAUAAUGCCUUCAGUUCCUCUUGAAACCAAGUACCAUCCAUCUGUUGUGGACAUACUUUUUAUCAAACGGCUUAUAACGGAAACAUCAAAACAAACUCUUUUGUAGUUUUCCUUCAGCAUGAAUUUGUAAACAAUGGGAAGUCUAAUGCAGAAUGUUAAUCGGUGAGAACUUGAAACUGAUGGCAUUCAUCUGUGUGAGAUUCCUUGAUAAAAUAAAAUUAGUUGGCUCUAUGGUUUAUUGACCAUUGAAAAUAGUUUAUCUAUUGCUUGCAUUCUAUUCAACAACUACUAGACGACAGUUUAUUAUACUGGUUACGUACUACUCAGUGCUCACCAACUCAAUGCAGUUGGAAAAGAUAUAACAUUUGUCAUAGUGAUAGAAGAGUAGGUGGAGUUUUUUUUUUUGGAACUGGUAACUGUAAAGUAGGUCGAUGUUUUUAAGGUCACACAUUGUUGCCAUUAGCCAACAGAAGAGAAUCGACCACAUUGAAGGCAUGUUGAAGGCAUUAAAAUGAAAUAGGCUCUUCCUUUUUAAUCGCUCAAGAUUUCAUGAGGUGGAACUUACUUCAGCAAUGAUACACUAAAUGCGUUGUUUAUCAAGUUAGUCUUCAGAUUUUCAGCCUGGGAAACAACCGUAUUACACUACUGUGAGAGAACUUGUUUAGGAUGCACUUGAUUCUGCUGAAUCCAUCUCUGAACUUCGAGUUGUAGAGAUAACCAUUGAAGAGUUUGGUAGAAGUAAAUUUAAUCCCAUGAUUGGUGAUCAUGAGAGAUGAAGGCGUAUAUGAUGAUUUUGAGACAUCCAAGGCUCGUGAGGUAAGUAAAUAGUGAUUUACUCUCACUUAGAUGGUGUAUUGAUAUUUUAUGCUCACUGUUGACAUUUAGCAAAUUUCAUUAGUGAAAUACUUUUCUAACAAAUUUUAUUAGAUGGCAUUGUGAUGUUUCUAACUACUGAGUCUAGAAAAGACUUCCCAAGGAAGCUUGAGUUCUAGAGAUCCAAGCAAAGAAUGUUGCUCUUAGGAAGAAAGUAAAAGACGACCCUGCAGCUACAAAGGCAGCUAAGAGUUGGGAAGCAUUAUAUUAUAGGGUGACAUGCAAGGUCUGAUCUCUUCUAUAUGCCGAUUCUGCUCUAAGUAUGCAAAGCAAGAAAAGUACAUUGUUGACUUAAAUAAAUUUGACAAGUUAGUGGAA